ensembl:snRNA U6 U6 spliceosomal RNA
GUGCUGGCUUUGGCAGCACAUAUGCUAAAAUUGGAAACUACAGAGGUUAGUGUGGUCCCUGUGCAAGGACUACACGCAAAUUCGUGGAGUGUUCCAUAUUUUU